rnacentral:rRNA from 1 species
GUACCUUGUAAUUGAAUUGGACUUUAUUUGCGCAGCAUAGGUGGGAGGCGUUGAGAAUAUUCUUGCGGGAAUUUAGGAGCCAUCAGUGAGAUACCACUCUUGUAAUGUUAGAUUUCUAACUUUGGAUCAUUAUCUGGUCAAAGGACAGUUUCAGGCGGGCAGUUUGACUGGGGCGGUCGCCUCCUAAACGGUAACGGAGGCGCACAAAGGUUUCCUCUGAACGGGUAGAAAUCGUAUCUAGAGUGUAAAGGCAUAAGGAAGCUUGACUGUGAGACCUACAAGUCGAGCAGGGACGAAAGUCGGUCUUAGUGAUCUGACGGUGCUGAGUGGAAAGGCCGUCACUCAACGGAUAAAAGUUACUCUAGGGAUAACAGGCUGAA